GGGAUCCAAAUCCCUCGUUCUGUUUAACAACCACAGGGGUGUUGCAGCUAGCCUCUAAACUGAGGUGUAAAUCUGACUGUACCUAUAGAAGGGCCCUAAAAUGUAAUCUUGCACUUAAAGCCAGAAUGUGAUCUUGCACUUAGCCACAUUUUAAGAGACGGGCAAUGUAAGCGCAGUGCUGCCGCACCCAGGUGGUCCUCCGAUGUGCCCCUGGGUAACUGCUGCGGGGCAGGCUGGUUUCUGUUUCAACUUAGAUGAUACAAAAAUCCAAUUCAGAUGUGGGAUGGGUUGCCAGUAGUACCUGAAGGAGGAGAGGCACUGAAUGUAUUCUGUGGACACAGAAGUUGCCAAGUGUGACAGUACUUGCUCGAGAGUCUCUGUCACAGAGAGGUGAACUUCUGUAAUGCCACUUCACGGAGCCGCUCUUCAGAGAGAGCUCUCGUUCCUGUGCGGUGUGGUUUCCUUUUUCUGAGCAGAAGGAGUAGCUGCUGUGUCCCAGGCAUCGCGGAGAACUGAAAACUCGAGUGUGGCAGCGAAUCUUGAAAACAAAUUUUGGUUUUAGAGCUACUUUUCUUUUGAAGUGGAAACAUACAAGCCUCAUUUAAUGCUCUUAAGUGUUUGAGGGUGAAAUCCAGGAUUUCUGGAUUGUUGUUCUUCAGCGUGAAUGUCGUAGAUUUAGGUGGCAGAACUCAGCUGUUCAUCUUACUAUUAACAACGAGAAUUUCUUGAAAUGACACCGAUAAUGCAAAUAACUGAGAAGAUACAGCGUAUUUACCACUUACCGCAAAGAAUGUCUGUUUUAAUUCCUGCAGGUGUCUGCUGUGUGUCUGCAUGUAACCAGCGCUGCUGCUAACUUGCUCUAAGUGCUUCUUGCGUUCAGAGUGAGUUCUCUAGUGGCAUUAACGUGAGUCGCCUGCAAGCGCAGAGUUUUAAAGGAAAGAAACUUGAACUGCUGGGAAAACUGCCCAACGCCAAAAAAGAAGCACUAACGUCGUUUGUGUCCAACACCUCAACUUGUGAAGCAGUGUUUGUUAACGCUGACACACAGCAGACGCCUGUUUUUAAAGCCCGUAAAACUUGGGGUCAACACAGCUUGUCUAAGCAAACUUGUGACAGCUAGCUGGGGCGGUGUGGGAUCCCUUUCGGGAGGAGCAUCUUGGGUGCACUUCCUUUUUUUCUCGUAAAAUAACAGUGGUUGUACCUGCCGCUGGCUUUUGUAAGUCAAAGUUGUGCUGCACUGGAGGGCAAUAAGGACCAGGCAAGACUGUAUUUGACCCCAGGUUUUCUGGUUUCUUACUGAAUGGAGUACCUGCUUCUUUAAAUCUGGUUUAUUUGUGGUUGCUGCUCUUGUUUUGUAAGCAAGGAUUUUAACACCCUUUGAGGGUAUUUAAUGUCAGAACAUGGUUGACUGGCAAUAUUUUUUUGCCAGCACUUAGCCACGUGCUGCCGUCAUGUCUGGUCCAGCUUUGGCAGCUGUGCUGUUCUCUUAGGCUCCGAAGUGUGCACCAUUGGAGUAGCUGUCCACUAAAAGUCAUCUUGGCCAGGGCUGAGCGCAAGCAGAAGUCCAUCUGCAAUCUCACUUCUGUAUAGAGCAAAACGGAUGUAGCAGAAUUCAGCUCUCUUGUCGUAUUUGGCAUUACGUUGCUCAGCCAGAGCUCAGUAUUUCUUCAAACUUUAUGUGCAGCUGACGUUCCUGUAUUUCACGAGUUAGUUUGUUGAAUUAGUGUGGAAAAGGAUGUCCUUUUCCUGAAUCAUUUUGUAGCCGUGCUUUUUGCUUUGGGGAAAGAACCUCAAAUGACUCAUACUUUUGUUUAAGAUUUUAUUUAAUUAUUAUUUUUUUAAAAUUGGAAACUUUACGCAACUUCCUUGGGUGCUAGCCAGUGGCUUUGUUUGCUCCGGUCUAGUGCGUGGUUUGCUGCAGACUGGGAGUGCAGCAUGAGCACUGAGGUUACCAUCAGCGCUGGAGGUUUCGGGCUCCUGGCUUGUGACUCCUGGUGCAUCCUUUUAAGCGUUGCAGAGGGAGAAGCGAUUUAUGUGCCAGGCAAAUCUUAACCCUAUUUUUUAUACGGCUGUCAAAAGACUGAAAUGCUUUGGUGACAACUUGCUCAACCUCCUGUGGAGGGUGGAGGAGAGAGUUUAGGCUUCCUGCGUUGGCAGUGAAACGAUCUAGCUGAUGGUAACCGAGGUGAAAGGCCUGAAGUAUUAAUGGGAAGGAGGAAUCAAUGGAAAUUGUGAAGGCAGGUUCAAAAACUCUGAGGACUCAGGGAAAAUGGCUUGGAAAAUCGUGGUUCCUGGCUUUUAAGUCAAACAGUGCUGAGGGCAGUACUCGUGGGGAGUCUGCUGUGCGCCUGUUGAACAGAAAAAAGAGUGGAGGAAAUCGUUGCCAUGCUACAAUUACAGAGUUUUUGGGGUUCUUUCCCCCUUGUCUCCCCUUUUUCUAAUGACUUUCUGCAGAUAGCACCGAAGGACAGGUAUUCCAAUGAGUUAUGGAAGGAAUGAUGAGAUGAUUUUUCUAUCAGGCUUAAAGCAGACCGUAUUGUUCAGAGAAUGGUUAAUUGAAUAUAAACUUGCUGCAGGUUUUAAUUGUGUGAAAAUGAUGGAUGAGAAGUAUUACUUGAAUAGUAACAGUUUUAAAAGAUAUUAGGUGUGUCUUUGAUUUGCCCUCUUUAAUAUUGGAAUAGCCUGCUGUUGGAAUUAUGCAGCAAAAUAAUAACAAAAGAAAAACUUGUAAACACUACAUUUUACGUUUUUGUUGAUAAGUUGCCUUCAGGUAAUGUUCUUUGAGGAAAGUCAACCGAAUUGUCAAGAAAUCCGUUGAUUUUUCUCACGGUUAAUUAUUUUGACAUGUCCCAUUAACUGUUGCUGAAAGUUGAAUAACCAUCAAUACUGUAAGCCUAGUUUAACCUCGGUCCAAAGCCAAGCCCUGCACUACUUGUUAUGCAUCUAUACAUAGAAGGUGACUUCAUUGCAAGGCUUCGUGCCCGCGGGUGGUAUAACGUUGGGAGGCGAAAAUCUGUCGUGUACAUUUGUAUUGAAAUAACAUUUUCUUUCCUCCUGCAAGCAAAGCUGGUGGACUGCAGAAGACAACCGCAUGGGAUACCAAGCUCUAAUGGACCUUUGGGAAGAGAAGCUGUGGCUUGUGUGGAAUUUACAUGGGCCUCUUGAUGGAAGAAAGCUUAUCUGUUUAGUAUUUGUGCAUUUUACUAAAAUGGCAGCUUUAAAAAAAAAAAAAAAAAAAAAAGUUGUGUAUCUGCUAUUGUGAUGCCAAUGCCCGUGUUUUAAGUGGAAAAAAAAUGACCUCUUUGCUUUGUGCUGUGUACACAAGAUUGCUGGAAAAGUAAAGGAAUACCCUUUUUAUGGCUCACACAGCUUAAAAGUAGCUGUCACUCAAACAUGCGCUCACAGUUGAGCUGAUUUUGUUUCAUUCUAAAUAAAUUGUUUCUUUUGAGGAAAAUGGUUUUUCUGCCUGGAAGUGAAUUGACGACAAACGUUUGACCCCUUUGUUUGCAGCAGAGGGGUACUUGCUGCUGCUGCUGCUCCGUGAUAGUUGCGGGUCUUGAGCAAGAAGCAGGGAGACUGGCACUUUGGCGUUGACCAGCGUGUUUUACCAAAUCUGAAGAAUCUAGUUGAUUGUCUGGCUGUGGCACCCCCUUGGUUUGCGGUGAAGGGGGUCACUUGCUGCUUUACUCCUCAUCCUUACGAGGAAGCGGUGCUGAUGCUGGCAUGCAAGAAGCAGGGAAGCACCACCCUGCGUCUCAGAACGGUGUACAAGUCUGGGGCUUCGACGAGCUGGAGUUCCUGAAUUUUAUGUUUCUGAUUUAUUUUGUUCACCCAACUUGUUUGGCUUUAGUUUUGAUUUUUUUUUUAAGUUUGAAGAAAAAGUUUGAAAUUGCGUUGAAUCUUGCACGUAAACCUUUGCACCAAAUUGCCAAAAGAAAAAGCGAAAUGAGUCCUUAGGAGUGUUUAAAUGCUGUUAAUAAAGCCUUUCCUGACACACGCGAGGCGCUCCUCCAUCUCCAGGGGCUUUUCAGCAGUUAUGCAGUGCUGGGUUUAGUUCUGAAUGGAUGAAGAGUUCCUGAGAGCUAGAGUCGGUAAUUUAAAACCUUUGCGUUGGUGUCAGUGCCUUAUUUUGACCGGUUUUGAAGCAAGUGUUCCACACGCCUCGGAUGUGCAUGCACCCUGAUCGCGUCCCAGGUACGGCUGCAUGUUUGCUUGCAGUCACCACAAUGUGUAGUACAGAUGGUGAGAGGAAAAAAUGGAGGCAUCCUGACAAUGUUGUGUGCUGUAGUCCUGCCUUCUGUAUGGGGGCUCCUGAGCUGUGGAAGGCUGUUCCAGUGCAGGAGCACAACUCCAUGUUCGCUGCAGGAGACUUCGGGGCACAUUUGACAACCGCUGAGACGAAGAGGAAGCUAACACUGCGGCAUCGUUGGCUUCAGACACCUCUCGUGUUAUGCUUGCCGGUCUGUUAGAGUUAAUGUGACAUGCAGAUGAAGACACCUUGAAAUGCAAGCUUGCCCUGGUUGCCUUGACAUACUUUAACCUCCUGUGGAUAACGAACCUAGUGCUGUCCUGCAGCCGUGCAGGAGCAUUGCUAGGCUGCAGGUGCCUUCCAGCAACAGGAUGCCGUGGUUGUGCUCCGCAAGGUGUCUCUGUUCCCGGGGCAAAGAGCUGUGUAAAUCCCUGAAACAGCAAAAGGUACAAGAGGAGAGGAGCGGAUGUGACCAGCAGAGGUUAUCCUGAGCCUGCUGAGCUGCAAAGGUGGCGGCUUGAAGACUUCUCCUACCACCCUGGCUGAUGAAGGGCAGGAGCGUCCAACAGCGCUGGCAGGCAAACAGCUGUGAGCAAGCCGUCAGGCUCCUCGCCACGGGCUUUCAGUCGGGCUGGCUGCCUGCAGACUCAAGGGCUUUAAGUUAAACAGAUUUGCAGGUAAGUCACCUUUUCGUUGCAUUGUGAUUAGGCUUUGCUCUAGUGUGCAAAAUAAGCGUUUUUUUAAUGUGUGUGUUAAUAUUAUGUCUUGGGGUUCACUAUAAAAAUUUGUCUUCAUAAAAUUCUAAAAAUCGUACUUCUGAAGUCAAAGUUUUAGGAAAGUCAGCAGCAGUCAAAGGCACUAAACCCCAAGAUCUUACAUAGCAUGUAAAUCCCAUUCUGUAUUCUGCAAAGAGCAGCUGCUUUUGGAAACUUAAUCAGUAGUUUCUAGUCCCAUUCAGUAUUCAUGCUUAAUACAGCUGUGUUGGAAAAUUGCAGAAGAAAGAAAAAGAAUUGGAAGAGAAAAUUGCAGAAAACUGAAAAUUAUCUUGUAUCACAAACCUAGAUCCUGAUCUCUGAAUCAUUUCCCUCUUGCUCUGCUUACACUGAGAUGGAUCAGCGAGGGUUUUGCUUCUUGGCUUUGUUUGGCCUUUAUUUAUCCCAUCUGUAUUAAGAAGACUGAUUUCUGUGCAAGCCUUUUGCAAGAAACCUGCUUGCUUUACAAAAUCCAGAUGCGUUCUCGCAGUGAGUGGUUAGCAUCUUCAGAACGCAGAAGGUUUCCAAUUAUCAAAAAAAUAUAUUGGAAGCAAAUGAAAGCGUAGCUGCUGUGUUAGCAUGUAUGAUGCAUGGAUAAAGGAUAGCCAACUUAUUUCUUUUUGUACUGCCAGAGUAUUUACUCAGAUGGUUUUACGGGUAUUGCUUCGUGGUGGAUAUACAUCUUGUAUCAGCAGAAGAGAUCUUCCCCAGUACAGGCUGUGUAUCACUGUGACAGUGUAAAGCACGCUGUCAAUGAAGUACUUAAGUUGCUUGAAAUUGCAGCCAUAUACAGAGUUUGGCCAACCUAGAAAUACUGAUUAGGGAAAUUGAUCUUUCUCAUGCCCGCAGCACAGCAGGCUUGCUAAAACCUUGCAGCACGGAGGUAGUAUUUCAGAACACUUGGCAGCUUGGAGCCAAGUGCGCCCGCAGGCGCGGGGCAGCUGCCAGCACAGGGCAGGAAACAGCAGAUGAAGAACAGCUCACCAGGUUUUAGUGUGAGUUCAGGGCACAUCUGCUAGGUGAGUGAUGGGACAUCGCUCACACCAGUGUUGGACCUUGCAGCUUUUUCUGAUCACUUUAUUGUAGGAACAGCUAAGAUCCUCGUUCCGGGUAUGAGGUAUGGCUAAGGGUCAGGGGAAGGAUGAGCUUUGUCCUGGCCUGGAUGUAUGGAAGAGAAUGAGCCCCUCUCUUGUGAACAGAAGCUUGUUUCUGAGUGCUUGAAAUCUGCCAGAUACUCAAAACUGUUUUGGUUUCCUGGCAGAAGGAGAAGAGGAAAGGCUUUUCAUCCUCCUUAUCUUUGGGCACAGGAGCUCUCAUGGCUAAGUAGCGUAAUCUUCUUCAAAACAGGAGAUUACUGGGACUUUGCUGUACAUUUCAGUGCCUCUGCUUGGCAGGGCUGCUGCUGAGCCUGCUCGAGCCUUGCCUUUAUCAAGCUGUCUUCCCUCCUGUCCCUCUGUUUCUAGCUCAGGAUUAAUAAUGCAUCCUUAGUGGUAAAAUCUGUGCUAGUGUGGUCACCAUUGAUCUGCUGUGGUCAGGCUUAUAAGGGGGGGGGGGGGGGGCUGGAGGCCAGCAUCCUUUUUCUCUUGCAGCUGUUAGACUGCUGGUUGGGCUCUGCAAAUCCAUGAGCAAAAAUGUUGCCUGCGUGUAAAGAUAAUGUUCUUAAAUAUGCUUUUUUUCUACUUGGACAGAAAGAUCGGCUGUGGAUGUUUAUGGGUAGGAGAAGAACCAGAAAUACACUUAAUUGGUGGACAUCUGUGGUGGGUAUGCGUGGUGUGCAAUGUGUGAGUUACCUGCUAGAGGAGGUCCACCAACAGCUGCUAUCCCAGCAAAGAAGGAAGCAAAUCCCAAGUAGCUGUGGAGUUUUGGCACACCAACUAGAUCCACCUGAUUGUAAGACCAAAGCAAUAAUUAUUGGUAGGGUUCAUGUGAACGAGCAAGGCACAAAGCACCUUUUCUGGGGAGUUUCCUUUUCAGCUGCUGUAAUGUUUUGCGAGGACUUUGCACGUGUAGGUCUGAUUUAGCCUUGACUCUGCUCGCCUCCUGAAGGUCGGCGCUGAAAUCACAGGGAUGCAAGGUGCAAUGCCCUCACCCCGCUCUUUGGGCACCUCCUGAAACUGGUAAUGCUGCUGAGGCUUUGAGGAGGCUGGCGUCAGAUCUGACUGCAUUCCUUCCCGGGGGAAAAUCCCAAAUCGUAAUGUUUCCCUAUCCAGAUCCUGCUGUAACUGGUCUGUGUGUUACAGCUGACUCGGGUUGGGACCAGAUAUUCACAGCUCUCUGCAUUUGUCUGAGUGCUUGUAAAUGAAUGGAUUCACUCUGGUUCCCGGGAGCCGUCUCCUUUAGAAAGGAGGAUGUGGGAAGCAAUUAGCUAAGUCAAAUCACUGCCAAUCUGCAGCAGACUCGGGGUGCUUUUGUUGCACCUGGGCUGUGCGUGCCGGUCAGCAGGCUGGGGGGGGAGACUGGGGCUCUCGAGGGGCUCAAACUGGGGGGUCUGGAAGGGAGACCCCUCUGGUGCAAGUCUGCACCAGCCCAGGGCACUUCAGCUUUAGGAAAAGGUUGUUAGGUAUUUUGUGGAAUAUUGCUGGGAACACCGUGUAUUGUUAUUAUUAUUUAUUAUUACUUAAAGAAAUAUCCUCACCAGCACAG